UGCAAGUCGAGCGAACCAAUUAAGAGCUUGCUCUUAAGAAGUUAGCGGCGGACGGGUGAGUAACACGUGGGUAACCUGCCUAUAAGACUGGGAUAACUCCGGGAAACCGGGGCUAAUACCGGAUAACAUUUUGCACCGCAUGGUGCGAAAUUGAAAGGCGGCUUCGGCUGUCACUUAUAGAUGGAUCUGCGUCGCAUUAGCUAGUUGGUGAGGUAACGGCUCACCAAGGCGACGAUGCGUAGCCGACCUGAGAGGGUGAUCGGCCACACUGGGACUGAGACACGGCCCAGACUCCUACGGGAGGCAGCAGUAGGGAAUCUUCCGCAAUGGACGAAAGUCUGACGGAGCAACGCCGCGUGAGCGAUGAAGGCCUUCGGGUCGUAAAGCUCUGUUGUUAGGGAAGAACAAGUGCUAGUUGAAUAAGCUGGCACCUUGACGGUACCUAACCAGAAAGCCACGGCUAACUACGUGCCAGCAGCCGCGGUAAUACGUAGGUGGCAAGCGUUAUCCGGAAUUAUUGGGCGUAAA
rnacentral:rRNA from 1 species